UCAAAGCCUUCCCCACUAUGGCAUCGUACUUGUAUUUUAAGUCGUAGCCAUCAUUUUGAAACAUGCGUCUAUCAGAUAAAUUAGCAUAUGCAAAACGUAUUUAGAUCAGUGUCCUCUCAUCUUCUGGCAGGGCAUUUCCUCGGUUUUUUUUUGUUGGGAAUGGAGUCACUGCCAUGUUGCAGUCCUCUGCCGUUUCGUUCGGCUACCUGCGUAGGCAAGACCUGAGACGUCUUCCUGAUAGGAAUCUGUCCCUUGGGUGAGCCAUGGGGACCAGCUCUAGUGACUGAACACAUGGGAAAAGAGGAUGGCAGUCAGAUGCCUGUUGCCGGGAGGCCGUUGCGCGCUUGCGUAAGGAUUCCAUGAAUGAGUGGAAUUGCGUUGUAUUUUGCAAUAUCGGGCAAUGAUUGCUGAUACUGCUUGAGAAACCUGAAGGUGAGGCUGCUGCCAUCUCUCAUCGCAUCCCAGCAGAAGCCUUGGCUCACUUCCUCUGACGCUUGCCCAAGGAGAAGAAGAAACCCAACCUCAGAGUCGAUCAGGCAGGUCGGUGCCAGAAUUCUCCCACCCACAGCCUCCACAAGUCUAUGCCGGCCUUCUCCAACCUGAAGAUGUUUUAGAGUACAACUCCAGCCUGCUUUGCACGUCACAGUAAACCGCAGCUAAGACACCCACCCCAGGCUCUUCUGCAAUCCACAGAGGUCAGCUCAGUUAAGCAACCCAGGUGAGCAAAUGGAAGCGGGUGUUUCACCUAACACAUAAUUAACCUGUUGCCAACUCCAAACAGAUAAAGGUCACUCACACAUAACACCUCUUGUUUUCUUUUUGGCUGAAACUGCUCCAGAAAUGCAACGUGACCAGAAAAAUUAAAACAAUGCCAGCUAAGCUCGCCUCCUGUUUGCAACUGAGAAGAAAAAGUGGCCGUGUUUUUUGUGCACACAGGAAACGGCUGAACUCCUGAAAUAAAGGUGCCAAUUUUGAAGGUAUUUUUAAAAAGGGCACAGGAAGACUGAGAAUUUUCCUCAUCUGUCUUUGCCUUAUAGGUUUGUUGAAAAGGCUCUUUAGAAAACACCGGCACUGGACCUAGAUAAUAAGGGCUCCUGCCGCACUUGUUUAGAUAACUUUGGGCACGGCACCCACUUGAUUUUACAAAUCUUGUUCUUCAGCUGUUUGGGAGGAAGAGGGACAACAGUCAGCAAUAACCUUCAAACGCUUGCCAACAGACUUAACUUGUUUUGCACAAACAGCCCUCUUCGCCUGGGGUCUUUCCCACAUCCUUCACGGUAACCUCCAGCUUUAACCAUUAGCACGCUCUUCUUCCACCACCACCCCCCUCUCUGGAAAUUUCCACGCAGUGUCCUUCUAAAGGGUGAUGAAUUUACACAGCGGCUGAGUCUCAGGAGCAACCCAAACCCUUGAACGGAUUUGUUACUAGAGCAUGGCUGUUUGGUUUGUUUCAAUAAAGUACUGCUGUCAAUUAUGUGUCCCUCCCUCUAAUAGCAAGCUCAAGUGGCUGAGUGCUUGUCCACUCCCCUGCAGUUUGGUUCAUGAAAAGAAAGUGUGUUCUUCAUUUUGCCUUAUGCUGUGUUGGAAUUGUUUGCAUGUAAGCAUCAUAUUGUUCCACACCGUUUAUUUAAACACAAAAGAAACACAAUGCAAAUGAUGCGAGGGGAAAUCAUCAAUUGCAUACUGUUUGUGGACUGAGAAAUUGCAUUUGCCGGCUCGAUCCCUAAUGGUUGCUGCAUAUGCAAGGAAAACUCUCUAGAAUAUUGUAGGAAUUUUAAAGAGAUCGUUUCUCAGGCGGCCCCCCAAUAAGAACGAUCCUGCUGUUUUGUUUAAAGAUGCAUGCCUUGUUUUCCAUCAGAGUCUUCCUGCCCCAUGAACCAAGCAAUGAUGGGUGAAACAAGUUCAAGGAUCUUAAAGUUUGAUUGUUGUUGUUUAGUUGUUUAGUCGUGUCUGACUCUUCAUGACCCCAUGGAGCAAAAUACACCAGGCACUCCUGUCCUCAAAAAGUUUGAUUAGGUGACCAUUAUAACUAAUGGAGUAACACGCGUCUAUUCUAGGCUUAGUGGAACCUUGACCUGGAGAAAUAUGAGGGUGAGAUUGUUACAUGUCACAUGUCUGUUUAUGUUCCAGCACAGUCUGCUGGGAACUUCCGUUGUGUACAGCUUUUGCUUUUGAGACUCUCUCUGAGGAGACGACAUGUUUUUCUUUGUCCUGAUUUAUGCUUAAUAAAUCUGCUUGUGAUUCUGCUUUCAGAAGCCUCUCCACACCGCUUCUAUUCGCGCAGCGUGCUGCUAAUUUAGUGUGCUCAGACUUCUGAAGUCUGAGUCGCUGGCUACGUCGCUCCAGAGAUGGAUCGACCAGCACGUCGGCUGGAAGGGCAUGAUCCAGCUGGGGGCUAGCCAGCUGGCCUCUUGACGCCUCUGGAUGCUGACAACAGGGGAUGUACUGCAACAUUUUAUUGCAGGCUAUACUUGUAAAAUACCUACUGUUGUGCUCAGUGCUAUUUUUAUGGAAAAAGAGGUGCCAGAACGUACCAUGAAAGCUUCCCUUGUUCUCUUAAAAUGUCAAUGGUGCCCACCUGAGAGGUGCCAGAACUGAGUUCCCACUGGGGGGGGGGGAGCUCUGGUUUUGGUAGACACUGAGCAGAGUUCUAAAUAGCUACUUCUAAAGCUUUCCGAAAGUUGGUUCUCCUUUGUUGCCUGUCAGAAAUUUGGGGUAUCUGUGGACGACGGGAGGAGGGCGUGCAAAACGAAGCGAGCUUGCAACUUUUCUCGACCUUUUUAAAAAAUUUAUUUGAAAGUGUCAAGGGUAAUUACAACUGCCACGUGAACAAAACAAGUGGGAAUGGAGGUUAUAUAAAAGAAGACCCCCUGUUUAUGAAUCAAAGGUCAAACCUCCAUAAAACCAGCAGCUGAGAUGAAGGCGACGCAACAGACUUGUUGGAUUAGCAGGUCCUUCCAAAAAUAUUACAAAUUUCUCGGGGAGAUGUGUGAAGGAAGAAUCUUAGGUAACUGGUUUUGCACCUUCUGGAGCGACUCGGUCACAAGGGAGUCAUAAACCAAAUACCUUUACAGCUAAGCACCUAGCUCAGCCAUUGGCUAUUGGAAUUUGCGUACAAAGGACACCUAUGUAUAAACAUGACCAAGCGAGAAUGUAAUGAAACUUGUAUACCGCUGGUACUUAACGCCAGCAAAACUUUCUAAGAUGUACAGGAACCAGAACAAAUGGUGUUGGAAAUGCAGAACAUCGGUGGGGGAAUUUUUUCACAUGUGGUGGGGGUGUGAUAGGAUAAAAAAAAUUUGGGAUUUGGUUUAUAACGAACUUAAAUUUUUUUUGAAACUUGCCUUUCCGAAGAAGCCUGAGGCUUUCUUGUUGGGUCUAGUCGAUAAGGAAAUCCCAAAAUCCGAUUUAAGAUUCUUUAUGUACGCCACAGUGGCAGCCAGGAUUCUCAUUGCCCAGAAGUGGAAAACAAAUGAUAUACCAUCUAUAGAAGAGUGGCAAUCGAAGGUUCUUGAAUUUAUGGAAUUAGCCAAAUUAACACACAGAGUACGUGAUUCGGACGAUGCGAAGUUCCAAGCUGAAUGGAGUAAAUUUAUAGAGUAUGCUAAAGGAAAUUAUACGGGUAUGAGAGCGUUAGGGGUAGCAACAUAACGUCUACAGUGUCUUGAGUCUGUUGUAAAUAGAAAAUACGAAGUAGGAUUGACAGAAUUUACCACUUAUGGGUUGGAAGGAAGUCAUAUAGGUUGAAUUAUUUGUAAUAUGAAUGUUUGCUAAUAUGAUUAUGAAAAAAUGAAUAAAAAUUUAUCUUUGAAAAAAAA